ACAAACUUGGUCAUUUAGAGGAAGUAAAAGUCGUAACAAGGUUUCCGUAGGUGAACCUGCGGAAGGAUCAUUACCGAUUCUAAAGGAUGUGCUGGCCUCACAAGGCAACAACCAUUACGAGUGCACUCCGAAACCUCUUACCCCUGUGCAUCUAUUGUAGUCCAGCAUUAAGGGAGAAUUAACGUUCUUCUGCUGUGACUAUGUUUUUAUACACUCUUAGAAUUUUAUAGAAUGUCCAUUGACCUUAACAAGUCUAAUAAACAUAAAAUAACUUUCAACAACGGAUCUCUUGGUUCUCGCAUCGAUGAAGAACGCAGC
rnacentral:misc_RNA from 1 species